rnacentral:rRNA from 1 species
GAUGAACGCUGGCGGCGUGCCUAAUACAUGCAAGUCGAGCGAACAGACGAGGAGCUUGCUCCUCUGACGUUAGCGGCGGACGGGUGAGUAACACGUGGAUAACCUACCUAUAAGACUGGGAUAACUUCGGGAAACCGGAGCUAAUACCGGAUAACAUGUUGAACCGCAUGGUUCAACAGUGAAAGACGGUCUUGCUGUCACUUAUAGAUGGAUCCGCGCCGCAUUAGCUAGUUGGUAAGGUAACGGCUUACCAAGGCAACGAUGCGUAGCCGACCUGAGAGGGUGAUCGGCCACACUGGAACUGAGACACGGUCCAGACUCCUACGGGAGGCAGCAGUAGGGAAUCUUCCGCAAUGGGCGAAAUCCUGACGGAGCAACGCCGCGUGAGUGAAGAAGGUCUUCGGAUCGUAAAACUCUGUUAUUAGGGAAGAGCAAAUGUGUAAGUAACUAUGCACGUCUUGACGGUACCUAAUCAGAAAGCCACGGCUAACUACGUG